AUUGAACGCUGGCGGCAUGCCUUACACAUGCAAGUCGAACGGCAGCGCGGGGCAACCUGGCGGCGAGUGGCGAACGGGUGAGUAAUAUAUCGGAACGUGCCCUGGAGUGGGGGGAUAACGUAGCGAAAGUUACGCUAAUACCGCAUACGAUCUAUGGAUGAAAGUGGGGGCCCGCCUUGGCGGCCUCAUGCUCGUGGAGCGGCCGAUAUCUGAUUAGCUAGUUGGUAGGGUAAAAGCCUACCAAGGCAUCGAUCAGUAGCUGGUCUGAGAGGACGACCAGCCACACUGGAACUGAGACACGGUCCAGACUCCUACGGGAGGCAGCAGUGGGGAAUUUUGGACAAUGGGCGCAAGCCUGAUCCAGCAAUGCCGCGUGAGUGAAGAA
rnacentral:rRNA from 1 species